GAAAUCAUUUUUCACUGUACAUAUAAAUAAAAUUUUUGAAAUUCAACAUGCAUGAGAAUUGCCAUCAGAUGGCAUUUCCUUCAAAGACAGUAGCUCAAGUAUAAUUUUUUUAUAGUAAAUUUUUUAAUGAAUUCUAUUCUUAAUGAUUAUUAUAAUCAAUCAUCACUAACAAUGAUUAAUUACUUGUAGGUAGAUUGGGUGA
rnacentral:lncRNA from 1 species